rnacentral:rRNA from 1 species
CCCGCCAAAGACGGUAACAGCCCGGUAGUUGAAAUAGCUUUCCCUCCAGAGUGGAUCCUGAGUACGGCGGAACACGUGAAAUUCCGUCGGAAUCCGGGAGGACCAUCUCCCAAGGCUAAAUACUCCCUAGUGACCGAUAGUGAACCAGUACCGUGAGGGAAAGGUGAAAAGCACCCCGGAAGGGGAGUGAAACAGUUCCUGAAACCGUGUGCCUACAAGUAGUUAGAGCCCGUUAAUGGGUGAUAGCGUGCCUUUUGUAGAAUGAACCGGCGAGUUACGAUUUGUUGCAAGGUUAAGCGGAAAAAGCGGAGCCGUAGCGAAAGCGAGUCUGAAUAGGGCGCAUAAGUAACAGGUCGUAGACCCGAAACCAGGUGAUCUACCCAUGUCCAGGAUGAAGGUAAGGUAAUACUUACUGGAGGUCCGAACCCACGCACGUUGAAAAGUGCGGGGAUGAGGUGUGGGUAGCGGAGAAAUUCCAAUCGAACUUGGAGAUAGCUGGUUCUCUCCGAAAUAGCUUUAGGGCUAGCCUCGAGGUAAAGAGUCAUGGAGGUAGAGCACUGUUUGGACUAGGGGCCCUUCUCGGGUUACCGAAUUCAGAUAAACUCCGAAUGCCAUGUACUUAUACUCGGGAGUCAGACUGCGAGUGAUAAGAUCCGUAGUCGAAAGGGAAACAGCCCAGACCACCAGUUAAGGUCCCCAAAUAUAUGUUAAGUGGAAAAGGAUGUGGGGUUGCUUAGACAACCAGGAUGUUGGCUUAGAAGCAGCCACCAUUGAAAGAGUGCGUAAUAGCUCACUGGUCGAGUGACCCCGCGCCGAAAAUGUACCGGGGCUAAACAUAUUACCGAAACUGUGGAUGAACCUCUUUAGAGGUUCGUGGUAGGAGAGCGUUCUAAGGGCGGUGAAGUCAGACCGGAAGGACUGGUGGAGCGCUUAGAAGUGAGAAUGCCGGUAUGAGUAGCGAAAGAAGGGUGAGAAUCCCUUCCACCGAAUAUCUAAGGUUUCCUGAGGAAGGCUCGUCCGCUCAGGGUUAGUCGGGACCUAAGCCGAGGCCGAUAGGCGUAGGCGAUGGACAACAGGUAGAGAUUCCUGUAC